GAUGAACGCUGGCGGCGUGCUUAACACAUGCAAGUCGAACGGAAAGGCUCCUGCUUGCAGGGGUACUCGAGUGGCGAACGGGUGAGUAACACGUGGGUGAUCUGCCCUGCACUUCGGGAUAAGCCUGGGAAACUGGGUCUAAUACCGGAUAGGACGAUGGUUUGGAUGCCAUUGUGGAAAGUUUUUUCGGUGUGGGAUGAGCUCGCGGCCUAUCAGCUUGUUGGUGGGGUAAUGGCCUACCAAGGCGUCGACGGGUAGCCGGCCUGAGAGAGUGUACGGCCACAUUGGGACUGAGAUACGGCCCAGACUCCUACGGGAGGCAGCAGUGGGGAAUAUUGCACAAUGGGCGCAAGCCUGAUGCAGCGACGCCGCGUGGGGGAUGACGGCCUUCGGGUUGUAAACUCCUUUCGCUAGGGACGAAGCGCAAGUGACGGUACCUGGAGAAGAAGCACCGGCUAACUACGUG
rnacentral:rRNA from 1 species